rnacentral:rRNA from 1 species
GACGAAGGGGGCUAGCGUUGUUCGGAAUUACUGGGCGUAAAGCGUGCGCAGGCGGUUUUGUAAGCCAGAUGUGAAAUCCCCGGGCUUAACCUGGGAAUGGCAUUUGGGACUGCAAGGCUGGAGUUUGGCAGAGGAGACUGGAAUUCCUGGUGUAGCAGUGAAAUGCGUAGAUAUCGGGAGGAACACCAGUGGCAAAGGCGGCCUUCUGGACCAGUACUGACGCUCAUGCACGAAAGCGUGGGGAGCAAACAGG